UACGUAGGGGGCAAGCGUUGUCCGGAAUCAUUGGGCGUAAAGCGCGCGUAGGCGGCCAGAUUAGUCCGGUGUGAAAGUCAGAGGCUCAACCUUUGAAUGCCGCUGGAAACUGUCUGGCUUGAGUCCGGAAGGGGCGAGUGGAAUUCCUGGUGUAGCGGUGAAAUGCGCAGAUAUCAGGAGGAAUACCGGUGGCGAAGGCGGCAUCCUGGACCGGCAUUGACGCUGAGGAGCGAAAGCCAGGGGAGCAAACGGG
rnacentral:rRNA from 1 species